rnacentral:tRNA from 1 species
GGGGGAUUAGGUAACAGAUUAGGUAACAGCGGCUUUGUCAGCCCAUGUAAUGCCAUGUUACCUAAUGUCAUGCAAGCCCGCCGAAAAUCCAGACUGAUCAACGGCUUCGUGUCAUGCCGGGUAUCCCCAUGUCAUGCCGUGACCUUUCGUUUACACCGAGAGGGUCGGGGGUUCGAAACCCUCAUCGCCCACCA